CACGUAGGCGGUCUGGCAAGUCAGGUGUGAAAGCCCUCGGCUCAACCGAGGAAUUGCACCUGAAACUGCCGGACUAGAGUCCGGGAGAGGAGAGUGGAAUUCCCAGUGUAGCGGUGAAAUGCGUAGAUAUUGGGAGGAACACCUGUGGCGAAGGCGGCUCUCUGGACCGGUACUGACGCUGAGGUGCGAAAGCGGUGGGGAGCAAACA
rnacentral:rRNA from 1 species